UCAGAAGUGCGAAUGCUGACAUAAGUAACGAUAAAGCGGGUGAAAAGCCCGCUCGCCGGAAGACCAAGGGUUCCUGUCCAACGUUAAUCGGGGCAGGGUGAGUCGACCCCUAAGGCGAGGCCGAAAGGCGUAGUCGAUGGGAAACAGGUUAAUAUUCCUGUACUUGGUGUUACUGCGAAGGGGGGACGGAGAAGGCUAUGUUGGCCGGGCGACGGUUGUCCCGGUUUAAGCGUGUAGGCUGGUUUUCCAGGCAAAUCCGGAAAAUCAAGGCUGAGGCGUGAUGACGAGGCACUACGGUGCUGAAGCAACAAAUGCCCUGCUUCCAGGAAAAGCCUCUAAGCAUCAGGUAACAUCAAAUCGUACCCCAAACCGACACAGGUGGUCAGGUAGAGAAUACCAAGGCGCUUGAGAGAACUCGGGUGAAGGAACUAGGCAAAAUGGUGCCGUAACUUCGGGAGAAGGCACGCUGAUAUGUAGGUGAAGUCCCUCGCGGAUGGAGCUGAAAUCAGUCGAAGAUACCAGCUGGCUGCAACUGUUUAUUAAAAACACAGCACUGUGCAAACACGAAAGUGGACGUAUACGGUGUGACGCCUGCCCGGUGCCGGAAGGUUAAUUGAUGGGGUCAGCGCAAGCGAAGCUCUUGAUCGAAGCCCCGGUAAACGGCGGCCGUAACUAUAACGGUCCUAAGGUAGCGAAAUUCCUUGUCGGGUAAGUUCCGACCUGCACGAAUGGCGUAAUGAUGGCCAGGCUGUCUCCACCCGAGACUCAGUGAAAUUGAACUCGCUGUGAAGAUGCAGUGUACCCGCGGCAAGACGGAAAGACCCCGUGAACCUUUACUAUAGCUUGACACUGAACAUUGAGCCUUGAUGUGUAGGAUAGGUGGGAGGCUUUGAAGUGUGGACGCCAGUCUGCAUGGAGCCGACCUUGAAAUACCACCCUUUAAUGUUUGAUGUUCUAACGUGGACCCGUGAUCCGGGUUGCGGACAGUGUCUGGUGGGUAGUUUGACUGGGGCGGUCUCCUCCUAAAGAGUAACGGAGGAGCACGAAGGUUGGCUAAUCCUGGUCGGACAUCAGGAGGUUAGUGCAAUGGCAUAAGCCAGCUUGACUGCGAGCGUGACGGCGCGAGCAGGUGCGAAAGCAGGUCAUAGUGAUCCGGUGGUUCUGAAUGGAAGGGCCAUCGCUCAACGGAUAAAAGGUACUCCGGGGAUAACAGGCUGAUACCGCCCAAGAGUUCAUAUCGACGGCGGUGUUUGGCACCUCGAUGUCGGCUCAUCACAUCCUGGGGCUGAAGUAGGUCCCAAGGGUAUGGCUGUUCGCCAUUUAAAGUGGUACGCGAGCUGGGUUUAGAACGUCGUGAGACAGUUCGGUCCCUAUCUGCCGUGGGCGCUGGAGAACUGAGGGGGGCUGCUCCUAGUACGAGAGGACCGGAGUGGACGCAUCACUGGUGUUCGGGUUGUCAUGCCAAUGGCACUGCCCGGUAGCUAAAUGCGGAAGAGAUAAGUGCUGAAAGCAUCUAAGCACGAAACUUGCCCCGAGAUGAGUUCU
rnacentral:rRNA from 1 species